CUUAAUUCAUGGUGUUAAAGGGUCCUGUUCCUGAUGACUUGAACUGUGGCUCUGUCACUUCCUUUCCAGUUUCCUGUUUGAGCUGCACAUGUCCACCGGGAUUACCCUGGAAACCUGUUGAGAUAGAGACGCAAAACAACACUUACACACACAUGACAACACCUCAAGUGUCUUUUGAAUCUCACGAGUAUACAAGGCGCACACUAGUGGACCACUGCACACGGUGAAUGUCAACACUAGCUACUGUAAUCAUGGCGAUUCCUGCAAACUGAGGCGCAAACUCAGUCCACUAGCCAGGUGCAGAGGCCAGACUCGAAUGUUCACUCUGGCGCAGAACAAUGAAAAGGUGAAGCGACGUGGACGAGUUACAAAACGACAAGUAACGGCGCACUGAAGUGCACCGACGCCAUUGCAACGGCCGCCGCGUCAGACCGUUUGUUCGUCGCUGUCCGCGGUCGAAGGAACAAUAAAGUUGCAGACAGUCGAGUGCGGAGCUGCGUUCAGGACAACACGUGAGCGGAAGCCAAGUGGCCGUGGCUUGGUUUAACUGUGGAGUUGUGCACAGCACAUCGGGAAAGGCUUUUGACUGGUUGUUAGUAAUUCCUGGGGGGUUCUAUGAGUUCAAAAUCCUCCUUUAUUUUGUUUUCAUUGUAUGUGAAACAAAAAGAAGGAUCACUGCUCAGUGUUCACUUUGAGAGCAGUUAAAAAUAAGAGGAAAAUUUUGUUUUGUUUUUCAUAUUUGGCAAAUUGAAUUUCCAUGAAAUAAAAUGGACAGAUAGAAAACUACUUUUCCUGAAGAUAUUUCAGACUUUAAUGAAAUUAAUAUGGAUAACUUUUUUUUCCCUCCUCCUGUAUACUGUAUAUUGAUUUCUGUUUAAUGUAAUGCUUCCUCCUCCUGUAUACUGUAUAUUGAUUUCUGUUUAAUGUAAUGCUUCCUCCUCCUGUAUACUGUAUAUUGAUUUCCGUUUAAUGUAAUGCUUCCUGCAUUAUACAUUUAGUUUACUGCACCUUGUGCUAUGUUACAAUUACUUCUUCUGGCACCAUGUUUCCUUCUUUUAGGUUAUGUAGCUGCAAUUUGAUUCACUGCCCUGCAAAUGAGCUUUAUUUGGAAACAAAUAGAUAAAUGAAUGAAUGACAAGAAAUGAAUCAGUUAAUAAAUGGCAUCUAUAAAAUGUACAAAGUAUCCAAAAAUCUACAAAUGAUUAACGGUGAUUUAAAUCAUUUACAGUAAAUUAUUUAAUUGCACUUCAUCUUAAUUUGUCCUUUUGUGCCAGGCUUUAUUUUCUUCCUGUAAGAUUUAUUUUCUGUAAGUAUACAAAGGACUGGAUUAGGCCAUACAUUUAUUCACAAUAGGAAAUAAAACAGAUUGGACUACACGGCAAAAUGAAUUUCGCAAUAACUAAGAGAAAAUUAUCAAUGAUUAGGCAGGAAAUUUACAUCAAAUUUUAAAUUUUAAUGUACUUAUUAAUCUAUUACAAACACAGUUUGGGCUCAUGUGUUUGGGGGGACUAAGAGUAUAAGGACAUUUCAUUACAUCUGGCACAAAUGUCCACUUGGACACAAGGAUAAACUGAUAAGAUCUUGGUAGUCAAAGGUGAAGGUAAUUUUGACCUUACAAAACAUGUUUUGGCUCUAACUCAAUAAUGAUAAUAAUACAACUUUAAAAAAGGAAAAAGCAGACUUAGGCAUAGUUAAUUUAUUUAAGUGUUACAUGAAUGUUCAAGUAAACCUUCACGUCAAUCUUGUUUCAAAGCCCGAUGUGAGACCUCAAUCCUCCACAUUAGGCCACUGUGGUUUGGAGAAGAACUCGACUUGAAUUUAUGGUAUAA